GAGGUGGGGGGAUUGCUGGAGUUAGGAGUUUGAGGCUGCAGUGAGCUAUGAUCAUGCCACUGCACUCCAGCCUGAGUGACAGAGCAAGACCCUGUCUC
rnacentral:miRNA from 1 species